rnacentral:rRNA from 1 species
GUCGAGCGGAAACGAUGGUAGCUUGCUACCAGGCGUCGAGCGGCGGACGGGUGAGUAACGCGUGAGAAUCUGCCCAUUUGUGGGGGAUAACUCGGGGAAACUCGAGCUAAUACCGCAUAAUCCCUACGGGGGAAAGCAGGGGACCUUCGGGCCUUGUGCAGAUGGAUGAGCUCGCGUCGGAUUAGCUUGUUGGUGAGGUAAAGGCUCACCAAGGCGACGAUCCGUAGCUGGUCUGAGAGGAUGAUCAGCCACACCGGGACUGAGACACGGCCCGGACUCCUACGGGAGGCAGCAGUGGGGAAUCUUGGACAAUGGGGGUAACCCUGAUCCAGCCAUGCCGCGUGUGUGAAGAAGGCCUUCGGGCUGUAAAGCACUUUCAGUAGGGAGGAAGGCUUACCGCUAAUAACGGUGAGUACUUGACGUUACCUACAGAAGAAGCACCGGCUAAUUUCGUGCCAGCAGCCGCGGUAAUACGAAAGGUGCGAGCGUUAAUCGGAAUUACUGGGCGUAAGGCGCGCGUAGGCGGUUUGUUAAGUCAGAUGUGAAAGCCCCGGGCUCAACCUGGGAAUUGCAUUUGAAACUGGCAGGCUAGAGUGCAGUAGAGGGAGGUGGAAUUUCCGGUGUAGCGGUGAAAUGCGUAGAGAUCGGAAGGAACACCAGUGGCGAAGGCGGCCUCCUGGACUGACACUGACGCUGAGGUGCGAAAGCGUGGGGAGCAAACAGGAUUAGAUACCCUGGUAGUCCACGCCGUAAACGAUGUCUACUAGUCGUUGGGAAUCUUAGUAUUCUUGGUGACGAAGUUAACGCGAUAAGUAGACCGCCUGGGGAGUACGGCCGCAAGGUUAAAACUCAAAUGAAUUGACGGGGCCCGCACAAGCGGUGAGCAUGUGGUUUAAUUCGAUGCAACGCGAAGAACCUUACCAGGCUUGACAUCCUUGGAACUUUCUAGAAGAUAGAUUGGUGCCUUCGGGAGCCAAGUGACAGGUGCUGCAUGGCUGUCGUCAGCUCGUGUCGUGGAGAUGUGGGUAGUCCCGUAACGAGCGCCAACCCUUGUUCUUAGUUGCCAGCACUUCAGGUGAUCUCUAGGGAGACUGCGGUGACAAUCAGAGAGUGGGACGACGUCAAGUCAUCAUGCCUUACGCUGCUACAUGCGGCUACAUGGCCAGUCAAGAGUCCGGAAAUCGAGCAGCACCCUAACUGUUCGAUCGGAUGACUGCCAAUCGAUCCUAGAAUCGGAAUCUAUAGUAUACGGCAUCAUAGU